rnacentral:rRNA from 1 species
GAUGAACGCUGGCGGCGUGCCUAAUACAUGCAAGUCGAGCGAACGGACGAGAAGCUUGCUUCUCUGAUGUUAGCGGCGGACGGGUGAGUAACACGUGGAUAACCUACCUAUAAGACUGGGAUAACUUCGGGAAACCGGAGCUAAUACCGGAUAAUAUUUUGAACCGCAUGGUUCAAAAGUGAAAGACGGUCUUGCUGUCACUUAUAGAUGGAUCCGCGCUGCAUUAGCUAGUUGGUAAGGUAACGGCUUACCAAGGCAACGAUGCAUAGCCGACCUGAGAGGGUGAUCGGCCACACUGGAACUGAGACACGGUCCAGACUCCUACGGGAGGCAGCAGUAGGGAAUCUUCCGCAAUGGGCGAAAGCCUGACGGAGCAACGCCGCGUGAGUGAUGAAGGUCUUCGGAUCGUAAAACUCUGUUAUUAGGGAAGAACAAAUGUGUAAGUAACUAUGCACGUCUUGACGGUACCUAAUCAGAAAGCCACGGCUAACUACGUGCCAGCAGCCGCGGUAAUACGUAGGUGGCAAGCGUUAUCCGGAAUUAUUGGGCGUAAAGCGCGCGUAGGCGGUUUUUUAAGUCUGAUGUGAAAGCCCACGGCUCAACCGUGGAGGGUCAUUGGAAACUGGAAAACUUGAGUGCAGAAGAGGAAAGUGGAAUUCCAUGUGUAGCGGUGAAAUGCGCAGAGAUAUGGAGGAACACCAGUGGCGAAGGCGACUUUCUGGUCUGUAACUGACGCUGAUGUGCGAAAGCGUGGGGAUCAAACAGGAUUAGAUACCCUGGUAGUCCACGCCGUAAACGAUGAGUGCUAAGUGUUAGGGGGUUUCCGCCCCUUAGUGCUGCAGCUAACACAUUAAGCACUCCGCCUGGGGAGUACGACCGCAAGGUUGAAACUCAAAGGAAUUGACGGGGACCCGCACAAGCGGUGGAGCAUGUGGUUUAAUUCGAAGCAACGCGAAGAACCUUACCAAAUCUUGACAUCCUCUGACCCCUCUAGAGAUAGAGUUUUCCCCUUCGGGGGACAGAGUGACAGGUGGUGCAUGGUUGUCGUCAGCUCGUGUCGUGAGAUGUUGGGUUAAGUCCCGCAACGAGCGCAACCCUUAAGCUUAGUUGCCAUCAUUAAGUUGGGCACUCUAAGUUGACUGCCGGUGACAAACCGGAGGAAGGUGGGGAUGACGUCAAAUCAUCAUGCCCCUUAUGAUUUGGGCUACACACGUGCUACAAUGGACAAUACAAAGGGCAGCGAAACCGCGAGGUCAAGCAAAUCCCAUAAAGUUGUUCUCAGUUCGGAUUGUAGUCUGCAACUCGACUAUAUGAAGCUGGAAUCGCUAGUAAUCGUAGAUCAGCAUGCUACGGUGAAUACGUUCCCGGGUCU